rnacentral:rRNA from 1 species
CGCCCGUCGCUCCUACCGAUUGGGUGUGCUGGUGAAGUGUUCGGGUUGGCGACCUGGGGCGGUCUCCGCUCUCGGCCGCCGAAAAGUUCAUUAAACCCUCCCACCUAGAGGAAGGAGAAGUCGUAACAAGGUUUCC